ACGUACUCUCCUGCGGGAGGCAGCAGUGGGGAAUUUUGGACAAUGGGCGAAAGCCUGAUCCAGCAAUGCCGCGUGAGUGAAGAAGGCCUUCGGGUUGUAAAGCUCUUUUGUCAGGGAAGAAACGGUGAGAGCUAAUAUCUUUUGCUAAUGACGGUACCUGAAGAAUAAGCACCGGCUAACUACGUGCCAGCAGCCGCGGUAAUACGUAGGGUGCAAGCGUUAAUCGGAAUUACUGGGCGUAAAGCGUGCGCAGGCGGUUUUGUAAGUCUGAUGUGAAAUCCCCGGGCUCAACCUGGGAAUGGCAUUGGAGACUGCAAGGCUAGAAUCUGGCAGAGGGGGGUAGAAUUCCACGUGUAGCAGUGAAAUGCGUAGAUAUGUGGAGGAACACCGAUGGCGAAGGCAGCCCCCUGGGUCAAGAUUGACGCUCAUGCACGAAAGCGUGGGGAGCAAACAGGAUUAGAAACCCUUGUAGUCCCAUG
rnacentral:rRNA from 1 species